CCUACGGGUGGCAGCAGUGAGGAAUAUUGGUCAAUGGACGUAAGUCUGAACCAGCCAAGUCGCGUGAAGGAAGAAGGCUCUAUGGUUUGUAAACUUCUUUUAUAGGGGAAUAAAGCAUGCCACGCGUGCACUUUUGCAUGUCCCCUAUGAAUAAGCAUCGGCUAACUCCGUGCCAGCAGCCGCGGUAAUACGGAGGAUCCGAGCGUUAUCCGGAUUUAUUGGGUUUAAAGGGAGCGUAGGUGGAUUUGUAAGUCAGUGGUGAAAGUUUGUGGCUCAACCGUAAAAUUGCAGUUGAAACUGGAAGUCUUGAGUGCAGUAGAGGUGGGCGGAAUGCGUGGUGUAGCGGUGAAAUGCAUAGAUAUCACGAAGAACUCCGAUUGCGAAGGCAGCUUACUGGACCGUAACUGACACUGAGGCGCGAAAGCGUGGGGAUCAAACAGGAUUAGAUACCCUAGUAGUC
rnacentral:rRNA from 1 species